GACAGAGGGUGCAAACGUUGUUCGGAAUUACUGGGCGUAAAGCGCGUGUAGGCGGCUAUGCAAGUCGGAUGUGAAAGCCCUCGGCUCAACCGAGGAAGUGCACUCGAAACUGCGUGGCUAGAGUCUCGGAGAGGAUCGUGGAAUUCUCGGUGUAGAGGUGAAAUUCUAGAUAUCGUAAGGAAGACCAGUGGCGAAGGCGGGUCUCUGGACAGUUCCUGACGCUGAGGCA
rnacentral:rRNA from 1 species